rnacentral:rRNA from 1 species
AUUGAACGCUGGCGGCAUGCCUUACACAUGCAAGUCGAACGGUAACGCGGGGCAACCUGGCGACGAGUGGCGAACGGGUGAGUAAUAUAUCGGAACGUGCCCAAUAGUGGGGGAUAGCCCGGCGAAAGCCGGAUUAAUACCGCAUACGACCUGAGGGUGAAAGCGGGGGAUCGCAAGACCUCGCGCUAUUGGAGCGGCCGAUAUCAGAUUAGGUAGUUGGUGGGGUAAAAGCCUACCAAGCCUACGAUCUGUAGCUGGUCUGAGAGGACGACCAGCCACACUGGGACUGAGACACGGCCCAGACUCCUACGGGAGGCAGCAGUGGGGAAUUUUGGACAAUGGGCGCAAGCCUGAUCCAGCCAUGCCGCGUGCGGGAAGAAGGCCU